AAAGCAUGAUGUGCACAUUUCCUCAAGAGCUCAUUGUACCUCUCCCAAGCCUCGUACAAAGAUUCAGUUUCUUGUUGGACAAAAGUAGUGAUUUCAUUUCUCAUUCU